AUCACACAUUAUGCAGACAAGUAUGUGUGAGCCAGAUGAAAUCCACCCGAGUUUCUUAUAACCUAAGGAUUUAAAUACAGCAUAGUAGAAGAUGAAUACAGGACCUUAAUAUCACGACUUUAGAUCAUGACUUCCUUUGUUUUAGAUCAUGACUGUAAAUAAUUUGCAAGUUUAUGAAAUCAUCCUGGACCUCACUACAUCAAGGUUUUCACUUCUUCUAAAAAGUCUUUUCAUCUGUAAAAUACUGAAAGAAAAAUACCAGCUCCAUGAUAAGAACUUCUCCCUAACUACAGUGGAUCCAAUAUUUCAUUGCAUUUCUAGAAAUGAAGUUUUCAGUAAGAAGCAGCAAAGUGCAUCCAUUUGGGUCCAAUUUCUUUACCACUGAUCAUCCCCUGCCUACUGAGGAAGUUGUUAUGCCAUUCUGAGAAACACACAUGUAGAUAUGGCUGAAUGGACUCCAAGGACAAGGGAAAUUCCUAUUAGAACCUGUAAAUAAAAACUGAAAUGAAAAGAUCCUCAUCAGAUUUGGAUAUAUGCAAGGUUAAUCUGAAGAACAUGCCUGAAGUCAGCAUG
rnacentral:lncRNA from 1 species